rnacentral:piRNA from 1 species
UUGAAGAGGUGCUUUCCUCUGACAGGUGA